rnacentral:lncRNA from 1 species
AAUUCUUCUUUUUGGCGAAGGCCCCUGGUCUUCAAGGGUGUUAUUUCGAGCUUAUCAUAAUAAUAACCAUCGUCGUUCGAUCGAGGUCGAACUCUUCUUUUUAGCGAAGGCCCCUGACCUUCAAGGAUGUUAUUUCGAACUUAUCAAAAUAGUAACCCGUCGUCGUUCGAUCGAGGUUGAACUCUUGUUUUUAGCUAAGGCCCCAGGCCUUAAUGCGUGUUAUUUCGAAUUUAUCGAAAUAGUAACCCGUUAUCGUUCGAUCGAGAUAGAACUCUUUUUUUUGCGAAGGCCCUUGGCCUUAAAGGGUGUUAUUUCGAACGUAUCGAAAUAGUAAUCCAUCUCCGUUCGAUCGAGGUCAAACACUUCUUAUUGGCGAAGGCCCCUGGCCUUCAAGGGUGUUAUUUCGAACUUAUCGCAAUAAUAACCAUCUUCAUUCGAUUGAGGUCAAACUCUUCUUUUUGGCUACCUUCAAGGGCGUUAUUUCGAACUUAUCGAAAUAUUAAGGCGUCGUCGUUCGAUCGAGAUCAAACUCUUCUUUUUGGCGAAGGCCCCUGGCCUUAAAGGGUUUAUUUCGAACUUAUCAAAAUAGUAACCCUUCGUUAUUCGAUCGAGGUCGAACUCUUCUUUUUGGCGAAGGCCCCUAGCCUUCAAGGGUGUUAUUUCGAACUUAUCGAAAGAGUAACCUGUCGUCGUUCGAUCGAGGUCGAACUCUUCUUUUUGGCGAAGGCCCCUGGACUUACAGGGUGUUAUUUCGAACUUAUCAAAAUAGUA